CCCUUAGAUGUCCUGGGCCGCACGCGCGCUACACUGACAUGUUCAACAAGUUUCUCCUAGUUCGACAGGACUGGGAAAUCUUUGAACGCAUGUCGUGAUAGGGAUAGAUCAUUGCAAUUAUUGAUCUUGAACGAGGAAUUCCUAGUAAACGCGAGUCAUCAGCCCGCAUUGAUUACGUCCCUGCCCUUUGUACACACCGCCCGUCGCACCUACCGAUUGAAUGUUCAGGUGAGCCAUUCGGACUUUCAUCAUGCUGGUUUCCAGUUUUGAUGAAGGAAAGUCUUGCGAACCUUAUCAUUUAGAGGAAGGAGAAGUCGUAACA
rnacentral:rRNA from 1 species